rnacentral:rRNA from 1 species
GCUAUGCCGCGUGAGUGAGGAAGGCCUUAGGGUUGUAAAACUCUUUCAGUAGGGAAGAUAAUGACGGUACCUACAGAAGAAGUCCCGGCAAACUCCGUGCCAGCAGCCGCGGUAAUACAUA